rnacentral:rRNA from 1 species
GACAGAGGUGCCGAGCGUUAGGCGGAAUCACUGGGCUUAAAGCGUGUGUAGGCGGGUCGUUAAGUGUCUUGUGAAAUCCCCCGGCUCAACCGGGGAAUGGCUGGGCAUACUGGCGGUCUUGAGCCAGCUAGGGGCUACCGGAACAAAUGGUGGAGCGGUGAAAUGCGUAGAUAUCAUUUGGAACGCCAAUGGUGAAAACAGGUAGCUGGGGCUGUGCUGACACUGAGACACGAAAGCCAGGGGAGCAAACGGG